CUUUUCUUUUCUUCUCUCUCUCUGAGACAGAGUUUUGUUCCUGUUGCCCAGGCUGGAGUUUAGCUCAGUGCAACUUCCACCUCCUGGGCUCAAGCAGUUCUCCUGCGUCGGCCUCCUGAGUAGCUGGGACUACAGGCUUUAGAACUGGUGCUUUAUAAGAAGAGGAAGAGAGAUCUGAGCUAGCACACUCAACCCCUUGCUCUGUGAUGCCCUGUGCCAUCUUGGGACCCUGCAGAGAGUCCCCACCAGCAACAAGGCCUUCACCAGAGCAGCCCCUUAACCUUGGACUUCCCAGCCUCAAUAACUCCUUUGCUCUGGAUCUCUUUGAAUGCUGCUGUCACAUAAACAAGACUGACAUGGCCUACUGGAGGAUGGGAAAUUACAUGGAGUAGAGACAAGCAGUCCCAGGUGUGGAACCUGUAGACCAGCUAGCCUACCAACCACCAGACGUGAGAGUGAGACCAUCCUAGAUCACUCAGCUUCAGCCAAGCCACCAAGAGACUACACAGGUCAGUUGAAUUGGCCUAGGCCAGAUGAACCACUCUGCCAACCCACAGAAUUAUAAAAAAUAAUAAAUAUUUGUUAUUGAAGACUUUAA